rnacentral:lncRNA from 1 species
CUCAAGAAAACAAAAAUGGAAUCCAAAUGAGAAACUAACAGUAACCAAAAAUAUACUAAAGAAGUAACCAAAUAUUUAUAUAAUAAUAAUCAAAACAUGUUUUAAUGGUAACCAAUACAUAAACAACAUGUACACCAAAACCAGUUUAGUCAACCAUGUAUACUAAGCAAAUACAUGGUAACCAUAACAACAUAAAAAAAUAACCAAAAUACCAAAUCAAGGUAACAAAAAUCGUAUCCGAAUCACAAGCUAACAGUAACCAAAACAUAAUGCAGAAAUAACCAAACAGUUAUAUGAUAGUAACAAUAACAAAAUUUAAAUUAGCAAACCUUUAAAAAAAUUUAGGUUGAAAAUAUCUUCUGGCUAUGAACUUGAGCUUCUAUCUUAACAACAAGAACAUCAAAAUCAGAAUCCAACUGCACAAACCCAAACAAAUUUCUUCAAGUCCUUAAUAGAAUCACCCUCUGUAAUUCUUUUCCUCUUUCCAUCCUUCUUCCUUGUAUCAACCAUUCUAUACAAAACAUAAAAACAACACAAAUCCAAACAAUCAAUACCCCAUUCUGUUAGAAACAUAGCGUAUACAUAUGAUCAUAUUGACAAUUAAUUAGUAGAAUGAGAAUUAACAGAAAUUAGAAGCAUACCUUAGAGAGAAACCAGAAUCCUUUCAGUUGUGAAAGCGUUCGAGAGAGAAAAUCACAUAUUAGCCUGAAAACAUAGCCUGAAAGUCACGUAUUCAAUUUUCUGUCAGAGUUGAGAAACUAUGGUGUUGCGGCGGCGGCGGAAGAGGACGACGACGAGUGGCUUCGAGAGGAUAGAGAGAAGUAGUAAGGGAGAAAAGAGAGAAAUAGUAAGGGCGUAGAUAGAGAGAGACCGAAGGAAGAUGUAAACUAAUUUGCUAUGUCAGGUCAUUAAUAUUAAUCCCUUAAUUUAAGGACUCUUAAUUGUAUUAGUAUUGUAAAUAUAUAUGAUGAAGUGUCAUAUUUUUGUAAUUAUUUUAUGAAUGUAUGAUUUUUGUAAUUACUUUUAAAAAUGUACUAUAAUAUGUAAUUGUUCCUAUUUAUUUUAUAUGGGCUAAUAAAUAUUAAUAUGUGAUGGAUAGAUAAUUUGAUAAAUUUGGGCCAUAAAAAUAAUUGGAUUUAUUAUAAUGAGAGAAUUAACAAGAUAUAUUAAUAAGUAAACAAAUAACUAGACCUAAUCUGAAUUGGUGAGGGAAAAAGCAGCCGUUCGAAAGCUUCCAAUAGAAAGAGGGAAUAGAUUUGUUCAACAAAGGUGAGAUAAAAUCAUAAAACUCUCAUAUCAGUUGUAAAGAUUAUGUAUAUAUAAUAUAUGAAAAUAGAAAAUAUAUGAUGUGCAUGUGUAUGUUUUUUUUAGUCGGAUCCAAUCCAAACACUACAUUUGGAGUUACCUUAUUCAAAUAUGGUUAAAAUUAGGAUCGUUAACCAUUUAGAGCCCUUAUCACUCUGGACUCCAUACAAAGGUCAACCCAUUGUAUAUGCCCAAUUCAACUGAACUACGUAAACUGGUCUGGGCUCCUGCCCAAUGAACUCGAAUGCCCGACCUCGAACAUUAUGCAUCCAAACCGGACUCCAACCCAGAGGGCUCGAAUGUCCGAACCCGAACAUCUUCAAUAUCCACUGGGCUUCGGCCCAAUAGGCUCGACACCUCAAACCCAUCCCAGGCCUUCAGCCUAUAUGAUGGUUGAUAAAAUGCUUCCCAACAUGCAUGAGAAGGAAAAAUUGAAAGUUUUAAAAAGAUUUUUUUUUUAAUGCAAAUCACAAAUUCUUUAAUUCCAAAAAUCUCAAAUUUUCAGUCGUGAAUUCAUCCCACGACAGCUGAAGAUUGAAUAAGAUAGGAUUCAAAAAUCAAUUGAGAAAAGAGAAGAAAGAGUACGUAAACCCCCAAUCUCAUCAGAAAGCAAUAAAAAAGGAAUACGGCUACGUACGUACAUACAUACUGUAUGGUUUGGUGUGGUUGGAUUGGAUUGGAAUAAUCCUAAAAGACGAGACGAGCAUCUACUUUCUUUACAUGUGUAUUAUGGUGACAUUCAUUCAUUCUGAUUGCAGUGGCUCCCUUUGUCUCCUAAUUUACCCUAAAUCUAACACUACACUUUUAUAAUGUCUUUAAUUUUAUUUUCUUGAUUUUGAUUAACGUAAUAGUUAAUAUAUAUAUAUAUAUAUAUAUAUAUAUAUAUAUAUAUAUAGGGUUCGGUUCCUGUAAGGGAGUCCUUACUUUCUUAAAAUGCACACUUUUUUUUUGUUGCUUUUUUUGCUUUUUUUUUUUAAACAACUAAAAAAAAAUAUUUAAUAUUUUAUGGAACUAAAAUUUUUCCAUAAUAUAAUGUUUUGGGUGUGAUUUAAAUACCUAUACCAAAAAAUAGUGGUACAAUUUGCACAGACUGUACAUAUAUAUUUUGUUAUACGUACCAAAAUCACACCCAAAAUACUGUAUUAUGAAAAAAUUUCAAUUCCAUAAUUAUUUAUUUAUUUAUUUUUAGUUGUUUUAAAAAAAAAGCAAAAAAAAAAUAAAAAAAAUCCGGACAUUAGAUCCGUCUGGACUAGAUCUUGUCCCUAUAUAUAUAUAUAUAUAUAUAUAUAUAUAUAUAUAUAUAUAUAUAUAUAUAACACACNNNNNNNNNNNNNNNNNNNNNNNNNNNNNNNNNNNNNNNNNNNNNNNNNNNNNNNNNNNNNNNNNNNNNNNNNNNNNNNNNNNNNNNNNNNNNNNNNNNNAUAUAUAUAUACUACUCAAAUAAUUUUAUCAAGUACAAAAUAGUUAUUUCAAAAAAUUAAAUAAAUUCACAUUACAAUUCAAAAUUAAGAUUUUAUAAAUUAAAUAGGAUCAAAAAAAGGAGGCACUAUUAUUAUAUUUAUAUUAAUUAACAGAGAGCGCGGUUAUAUUUAGUUGCAACAAAAUGAUAUCAACAUAUUAUUUGUAAUACAGAUUAUAUGAAAUUGUGGUGUGAAACCCUGGACAAUGACCAUAAUGGACCCCUCAUGUUUGCAUUAAAGUAAUAAAAAGUCAUUACUACUUUGAGACCAAACUUUGAUGAUCUAAAGACUCCAAAGCUAGUUUAGUUAUUACCACAAUUUCAUUUUAAUUGGUACUAUGUCCCAUCGGUAAUAAGUUACCAAGGCAACAAUCUGCACUUUUUUUUGAGUUAAAGAAGGACGGGAUCGUAUUAUCCCCUUGAGAUUCUAAUAGCCACCAACUUUAAUACAAGGUAGGAGGAGUAUCUAAUAACUACAUUUAUUAAUCAACAAAAACCCCUGCUGCUGCUGCUGCUGCUGCUGCAGCAUUAAGCAAAAGAAAAGGCCUACCUAGCACUAACACGUUAACUAAUUCAACAUCCUUCAUUUACCUCAAAUAUGGAGAGGAUCCAGAUCCUGAGGAUGGAAAACUAGAAAGCAAACAACUCCUUUUACUUUAAUUGGACCAUGAAAAGCAGAUCAUUAGCUAGUAUUUAAAUAACAUAUCUAACAUCAGGUAUUCAUUGCUUGGCCCAUGAUCAGUCUCCCUUAAUCUUGAGACGCCAUCAAAUCCCCAUCAUGCAAAUUUAUAAAGCAUGAGUAGUUAAGCUUUAGAAUGUUCCAACUUCAUGUGAUAUAACAACUACAUAUAAUAGGAAAACUGUCUACCUGGAUAACCGAUAAAAGUUGUAGAGGAUUCUUCUUUUGUGUGUAGAGGAGGACGGAGAGAGAAAGAGAGAGAGCCUCAAAAUUAUUCUUUUGUAACAUCCAAUUGGUGAAACUAGAACUUAAACAAACCCAAAGAAAGAACUAAGAAAAGCAUAAAGAACGCAAUAAACCAAAACUGCUAUUUUUGUUGCAUAGAAAUGAGAGCUUGGAAUUCUAAAGUGAGAUCUUCGAUUGGCGUAAAGCUAUUGUUUGGUAUUUUUUAGGGGGGGUUUUCUAUUCUUCCGUACUUUUCCAUUCCAUUCCUCUUUAUGACCCAACACCAUCUGUAGAUUUGGCUGGCUCAAAGGCUGCCUAUUCUCUCACUCAAGCCUGUUUCUUAAUAACUAAGGCAUAGUAAUUUACCCACACACCCCUGUCAUAAUAAACUUGCAUGUCUUUUGCACAUGUACACGUAAGCAUGCUCAAGUGAAGUGCAAGAUGGGUAGGAGUCUAAGAGAUUGUGUUGGUCUUUGUUUAUAAGAAAAAAACAGGAGAAAUCACAGUGUAGGGAAAUAUAUGAAAGCGAUGCUUGGCUUCUCAAGGAUGCUGUUCCAACACCUUUAUUCAUCCCUAGNNNNNNNNNNNNNNNNNNNNNNNNNNNNNNNNNNNNNNNNNNNNNNNNNNNNNNNNNNNNNNNNNNNNNNNNNNNNNNNNNNNNNNNNNNNNNNNNNNNNCAUCCUAGUCAGAUACUUCUACAACAGCCUUAAUUUGCUUAGAUUGCAGGCUUAUGAUUGGAAUGAAUCUAAGACUCCUCUCCGGAUUUUGGGGCCCUCUCAACUUUACACUUUAGAGUCCCAUCAAAGUACUAUAAGAGGCAAUCACAAGCUUAUAUCUACCGGAAUGGAUCACAAAAUAAGAAAGAUUACAAUUUCUCAGUCUUGCUUAUUCUAUUUCUGCUCUGAAGGAAAACAUAUACUUUUUCCCUCUCCUUCACAUAGAAAUCAUGUUGCUUAAUGCUCAGAGGCUGUUUAUCCUUCUAAUCUGUAUUGGGCUAUUAGCGGUUCAACCAGCUAGAGUUUAUGGCUUGAGAAGUAAAAAGCUUGCCAUUAGAUGGAGUAAAGAAGAUCAUGGAGUAGUGCCAAUGAAUCAGCGUAUCCUUAAGGAAGUUGUUAUGGAGGACCUAAAUGCAGAGAGGAAGCCAGCUACUAUAAACAAGAAAUCGGAUCCAAACCAAUCAAGCAAAAGAAGAGUUCGAAGAGGAUCAGAUCCCAUCCACAACAGGUCAUAACAUGUUUGAAGUUUUUCCAUCAACAACAGAGAAGAACACUGAAGUUGGUAAGAAAAUCAAGAACUUGUAACACUACAAAAAUUAGAAAGUGGUAGAAAUAUGAUGCCUGCUUCCUGGAGGGUCUUUAUAUGGAUUGAUUAAAAUGUUUUCCUAUUUUAUCUUUAGAGAUUUCAUUAGAGUGAUGUGCAUAGUCAAAGUUGUUAGAGAAUGGCCCAUGAAGGUAUGCAGUGUCCAAGUAUUUACUCAUUAUUAUUUCAAAAUCAGAAAAGUGCAAUGAAGAUGGCAGGCUCUCAAAUCAAAGUAAUAUAUUUGUUUUUCCUAUUUUCUGUUUCAUCAAAAAACUUCAUCUGUUUGUAUUCUUUGCUUCAAGUUCUUGAAGAUGUUUGUAUUUCACACUCUAAGGUAAGUUCUCUUCAAUUUAAAAGGCCUACUAUUACACUUUAGUAUUUCGGAGUAAUUGACUGUUCUUAUUUCUUACUCUCUCUCUCUCUCUCUCUUAUAUAUAUAUAUAUAUAUAUAUAUAUAUAUAUACACACACACACACAAUUAUUUUAAGGUUCAAUUAAAUAUAGUACUGUUAUAUGAACUCAAACAAAUGUGCAUAUGUUUGUUAUAUAUUUGCAGUUAUGCACGCAUAUUAAAGCCUCAUUCGAAUAGAUGCCAAUAGUAACAGAGCAGCACCAGAUCUUCCUAUAAUGCAAGUUUAUGUAAGAUUGNNNNNNNNNNNNNNNNNNNNNNNNNNNNNNNNNNNNNNNNNNNNNNNNNNNNNNNNNNNNNNNNNNNNNNNNNNNNNNNNNNNNNNNNNNNNNNNNNNNNAAAACAUUUUUCAAAAAAAUCUCGCCUUCUUCACUUCUCAUAAAAAUUUCGAUUUUUUUUAAUUACUAGAAUGAUUCAAUCUUUAAUGUCUUAUCUGAUCAUAUGGUAACUAUUGUCCUAACUUUCUCUACUGGAAACUACAAGUAUUUGAUUUUUCAGUAAUACUAACUAAAGCAUCUCAGAUGAGUUGCAUUUUUAGGAUAGAUCCCGACUCAAUCCGAUUUAGUCUCCUGACUCUCCUCAAAUCAUUACAAAGUCCAAACUUAGUAUAUUUAUUCUGUUAUAUAUCUCUAUAACACAAUUUCUUCUUUAGAGUCUCUAAAAUCACCAGCGAAGAAACAUAGUAUUUAGCAGCCAACACAGAGUUCCAUGUCCAGUUAUUCCAUCACACGUCUAACACAAAAUGACAAAGAAAGAAGUGGUCUCUGCUGAAGUUUGGUCACCAAUAAUCAAGCAGAUAUUGGAUGAAGUCAUUGGCUUCAGUGCUGAAGCCAAAAGUUCAAAAAGUGGUCACUCUUUCCAUUUUUAACAGAAGCAUAAAGGAACUAGAUGAAUAAUUACCCCGAUAACAUGACUAUAAACGAAUAUGGAACAUAGGGGUAUGUAUGACAGGAUGAUAAAAAGCCAACAUCUUUAACUAAUUAAACAAUAACAGAUUGUCAGAUUCCAAAGAGUACUUGAAGGUAUCAGAUGUUGGGAUUGGCAACGAAAGGGAGCAAUGCGAAUGAUUUAAAAAGAAGAAGAGGUUUUUGGAAGGUGGGUUCAGCUAAAAGUUUCAAGAUGAUAUUAUAUUGAGUUUCAGUAUAGAACUAAAUCAAACUUAAGUACUUAACCAACCAAAAGUUUCAAAUUUUGGUAGGAGCCAGUGCCUAUUGAAGUAAUACAAGCUAUUUGUGUUGUGCAGGAAAUCGGCUAAUACUUAGUUAGUUUGUAGCAAUAUAAUUGAAAAAUGCAUUAGUCUUCAAAGGGAAGAACAAAUCAUUUAAGCCAUCUGACACAUUUUAGUCAUAUAAGGGUAGUUUGCAUGAUAAAAGAAUAGUGAUGAUAAUGAAGAUUUUGAUUAAAAUCUGAGGCAAAACCCUAAAGUAAGAGCUACCAAGAUAUUGGUAAUGAAUAGGAAAAACUGAAGAAGAAAUUCCUAGUAGAACGGAUGGAAGCAUAAUGAAAUUCAAAUAAGGGCGUGCGUGUGUAUUUAUAAUACAUAACAAGAAAAAGAAGGGGAAUUUGAAAGGAAAUGUGAAACUUUUCAAAUCUUGACAGCACGUUUGAAUAAGAGCUCCGAUUUGAACAAUAAGAGUUCCAAUUUGAACACAGAGAAGUAAUCUAACAACUCAGAGAUUGUUAUUAGUUCAGUUCAAUAAUGUAUGUAUGUAUUACUAUUUACUAUUACCUGAUUGAUAUAUAAGAUUUGGAAGCAUCAAUGUUGAAUUGGAUUCAGACUAACGUGCUGAUGUUCAUCACACUUGCUGCGUAUGAAUACCAUACCACCACGAUUAUAGAUAGCUCUAGAGCAAUGUAAUGGACCCAAGAACCAUUGCAGGCCAGGUUGUGGUCGUCGUCC